rnacentral:lncRNA from 1 species
CGUUAGUCGAAAGAAGAAAUGAUUUAUGAUGACAUUUAAAUUUUUUUGUUUUCAGUGUAAAGUCUAUAUUCGAUUCGUGAAGGUUUAGCAAUUGAAAGUCCCGCUU